AUGAAUCCUUCAUUCUUCUUGAUUGCCCUUUACUUAGGAAUAGCUUCAGCUGCUCCAAAACUUGAUGGAAGUUUAGAGGCAUGCUGGCACCGGUGGAAGGCAACGCACAGAAAACUAUAUGGCUCGAAUGGAGAAGGAUGGAGGAGAUCAGUGAGGGAGAAGGAUAUGAAAAUGAUCGACCUGCACAACCAAGAAUACAACCUAGGGAGACAGACCUUCACCUUGGCAAUGAAUGCUUUUGGUGACAUGACCAAUGAAGAAUUCACGCAGGUGAUGAAUAGCCAUCAGAACCUGAAGCACAAGAGAAGGGAAGUGUUUUGGGAAUCUUACGCUGCUGAAAUCCCCCCAGCCGUGAAUUGGAGGGAAGAAGGCUAUGUAACCCCCGUGAAGAACCAGGGUCACUGUGGUUCUUGUUGGGCAUUUAGUGCAACUGGUGCCCUUGAAGGACAGAUGUUCGGGAAAACUGGCAAACUUAUCUCACUGAGUGAGCAGAACCUUGUGGACUGCUCUCAAGCUCAAGGCAAUGAGGGCUGCAAUGAUGGCCUACUGGAUAAUACCUUCCAGUAUGUGAAGUCCAACGAAGGCCUGGACUCAGAAGAGUCCUAACCAUAUCAAGCAAAGGAUGGACCCUGCAAAUACAGGCCCGAGGAUUCUGUGGCCAAUGUCACUGGCUCCGUGGACAUCCCUGAGCAGGAGAGUGCCCUCAUGAAGGCAGUGGCAACUGCGGGGCCCAUCUCUGUUGCUAUAGAUGCAAGCCAUCUUAGCUUCCAGUUCUAUGAAGAUGGCAUUUAUUAAGAAUGGCACUGCAGCAGCGUGGAUCUAAGUCAUGGCAUUCUGGUGGUUGGCUAUGGCUGUGAAGGAGAAGACUCAAGGAACAAUAAAUAUUGGAUUGUCAAGAACAGCUGGGGUGAAGCUUGGGGCAAAAAGGGCUACAUAAAGAUGGCCAAAGACCGUAACAACUACUGUGGAAUCGCCACCGCGGCCAUCUAUCCUACUGUGUGAGAUGAUGGCGAUAAAGAAAGCACUGAUUGAGAACAGGAUAUCCAGAGAAGGCAUUUCUAUAUUAAAACUGACCACAUUUUACUUAAUGGGAUACAAUACUUGAAUCUUGAAGAUCCAAAC